GUGCUUGGUUCAGCAGCACAUAUACUAAAAUUGGAAUAUACAGAGAAGAUUAGCAAGGCCCCUUUGUACAGGAUGACACAUAUACUCAUGAAUCAUUUCAUAUAUAU